rnacentral:rRNA from 1 species
UACGAAGGGGGCGAGCGUUGUUCGGAUUUACUGGGCGUAAAGGGCGCGUAGGCGGCCUUGUUUGUCAGGCGUGAAAGCCCUGGGCUCAACCUGGGAACUGCGCUUGGGACGGCGAGGCUAGAGAUCGGGAGAGGAGAGUGGAAUUCCCAGUGUAGAGGUGAAAUUCGUAGAUAUUGGGAAGAACACCGGUGGCGAAGGCGGCUCUCUGGACCGACACUGACGCUGAGGCGCGAAAGCGUGGGGAGCAAACAGG